CUGCACUAUAAAUGAGAUGUGAGAUGUCUGGAGACCUAUCUAUAAUUCAUGUGUCUUGGAGAAAGGGGAUUUCAACAAGAGGUCUGACCAAAUCUGGAUACAAACAGCCAAGUGUCAUGCUGACAACCUGACCACAAGGAUAGUGGAGAGGAAUCUGCUUUUAAGAGAUGUUCUUACACCACAUUCAUCAUCAUAUUUCCUGAGCACCUUCCGGUACUGCAUGAAGCAAUGUAGGCUGACAGAAGGAUUCAACACCAUAGGAGGGCAGGACACCCACCUCUUCCGGAAAGUUCACCACAGGACAGCAGCCUUAUUUAUCCAGCAGAGGAUCUCUGGGGGAUGUUUUGAGUCAACACCUCUCCCAGCAUGGCCGAUUCCAGCCACUUGUUGGAUGUUAGCAGCCAGCUCUAACAACUUGCACCCACAACCUCAAUUACCGAGGGCU